GCUUGUCUCAAAGAUUAAGCCAUGCAUGUCUAAGUGUAAAUAAGUCUAUACUGUGAAACUGCGAAUGGCUCAUUAAAUCAGUUAUCGUUUAUUUGAUGAUCUCUUACUACUUGGAUAACCGUGGUAAUUCUAGAGCUAAUACAUGCGAAAAAGCCCGACUUCUGGAAGGGUUGUAUUUAUUAGAUAAAAAACCAAUCGGGGCAACCCGUUUGUGGUGAUUCAUAAUAACUUUGCGAAUCGUAUGGCCUUGUGCCGACGAUGAAUCAUUCAAAUUUCUGCCCUAUCAACUUUCGAUGGUAAGGUAUUGGCUUACCAUGGUUGCAACGGGUGACGGGGAAUUAGGGUUCGAUUCCGGAGAGGGAGCCUGAGAAAUGGCUACCACAUCCAAGGAAGGCAGCAGG
rnacentral:rRNA from 1 species